UUAAAAGUCCCUCCAGAAAAACGUGAUUAUUAUUCACCUUAUUUUUCACGACAACAAGGGCGGCGCCAUUUCGCUCAUUUUGUCAACGUUCUUCCGGCCGCAAAGACGAUGAGCAGCUGAGGCAGUGACUGAAGGCGACGUGUUAAGCUUAAAAAGCUCACUCGAGCGCCUUUAUGUUUCUUUCUUACCAAUUUUAAGCCAACUGAGGAACACCCUUAUCGCAAGUAAUUAAUGGUUCGACUACGAUGUUCCGGUAACUUUAAACCACGCCUGGUGUUGAAAAGGUGGCCAGUUUCAGAUGCAUUGAUGUUUAGUGAUGCAGUGGACAACUGUGAGGAUGAUACAAUCAACAUGUUCCUAAACUGUGAUGCAGAAACACAAUGGGAGCAUCUAUCCGUCUCUGACCACAACUACACUUUAAAAUCACAACUCAACCUGAAGCAACCUACAUCUGAUAUGGGAAAACAAUGGUGCAGUUUCACUGACAGGGCUUAUCCUGGUACCAGGCUAAAAUGCAUAUUUGAGCUACAAUAAUUUAAAAACACCUUUUACUGACAUACCUCAACAUAUAUUAGUGCCAUUGUUUUGUCACAAGAUGCGCACCAGUCUUGUUUUUUUGUAGGAUUUGUUUGUAAAAACUAAAAUGUCCUAAUAUAAUUAAGGCCUAGUCCUGUAAACCCUGUCUGAGAAACUGCUUCUGCUUCAUGUGUUGAGCUGGCACAAAUGUACAUAUCUCUGCUGAGAAACAACCAUCUUUGUCAGCUUUACACAGGGUUGAUAUUGCAUCCAUUACACAGUCGCCAAGCACUUUACCAGUACAUACACCAACAGCUUCCAGAUAUACGCUUGGGAUCAGCUCCUGAUGACUCCUUAAUUUAUUGCAGGGUGGUCUUGCUUUACCGGUUGUAAAGUUACAUUAAACCUUCAUAUGUGAUCAGAUGUCAUGCAGUGAUAUUAAACAUUUACAGUGUGAUCAGAUGUUGUGCAUUUAUAUUAAACAUUUACAAUGUGAUCAGAUGUUGUGCAUUUAUAUUAAAUCUUUACAAUGUGAUCAUGUUGUGCAUUUAUAUUAAAUCUUUACAAUGUGAUCAGCUGUUACCUGUCAUGCAGUUAUAUUAAACAUUUACAAUGUGA